UCCUGGAGUAAUGUGCAUGUGGGUCCGCAGCUCUCGUCGGCGUGACCUAGUGGUUGGCGUCUUAGUCUCUGGCGACGGUGGUGCGCCACCUUGCUUCCGGCAUUGAGGGGAUGGCAAGGUUGUUGCUCCUUAACCUUGGUCAUGGCUCCAACGACUGCCUCUCUGGCUACCUAUACUUAGGUAAGUCCCUGGUCUCUCCUUCCUCUUUCUGCUCUUUGAUCCAUCCUUUGAGGCUUUGAGCUAUGUCAAUAAUGUGCUCUGCUCCGUCCAUUUGAGUCGAUGAUGUACUUAUUUUAGCCCAUAGAUAGAAGUGUAUUGUGAUACUGUAGCACGUGAAUAAAUAUACUUAGCUAGCAAAGGGAAGCUAGUCAAUCUGGCGUUUCAAAUCUUGAAAUGUUUAGUGUUCUAAUGCUUGUACAGUAGGACAAUAUCUCUCUUUUGAUUGCAAGAUUAGAUUGGUGUCUUCCAGUAUAUCACUAAUUAAAAUGCCUCCAGUUUCUGAAGAUUAUAGCAAUUAGGCUUGUUUGUCUGUGAACUGCAGCGUUCCUGCACCCUUGGUCUAUCAUAGGAAGGUGGAAGGUCUGAAGCCAAAGGUGGAACAAGGAAUGUCAAAUGCAGUAGAUGCAAACAAAUUGACUGGCAAAAGCUGUAGCAGGAUGGCACCACCUAAAUACCAGGAAUUGGCGGUCCACAAGUGCCAAUCAAAAAG
rnacentral:lncRNA from 1 species